rnacentral:rRNA from 1 species
AUUGAACGCUGGCGGCAGGCUUAACACAUGCAAGUCGAGCGGGGGAGGUUGCUUCGGUAACUGACCUAGCGGCGGACGGGUGAGUAAUACUUAGGAAUCUGCCUAUUAAUGGGGGACAACAUCUCGAAAGGGAUGCUAAUACCGCAUACGCCCUACGGGGGAAAGCAGGGGAUCACUUGUGACCUUGCGUUAAUAGAUGAGCCUAAGUCGGAUUAGCUAGUUGGUGGGGUAAAGGCCUACCAAGGCGACGAUCUGUAGGGGGUCUGAGAGGAUGAUCCGCCACACUGGGACUGAGACACGGCCCAUACUCCUACGGGAGGCAGCAGUGGGGAAUAUUGGACAAUGGGGGGAACCCUGAUCCAGCCAUGCCGCGUGUGUGAAGAAGGCCUUAUGGUUGUAAAGCACUUUAAGCGAGGAGGAGGCUCUUUUGGUUAAUACCCAAGAUGAGUGGACGUUACUCGCAGAAUAAGCACCGGCUAACUCUGUGCCAGCCGCCGCCGUAA